rnacentral:lncRNA from 1 species
CUUGACCGAAGCUCCGCUUUACCUAAAUCGAUAUGUCCAUGUAGAGGAGAAUGGUAGAAAAAAACAUGAAGGAUAUGAGGUCUACGAUAGUGCUUGUAUGAUGGUAGGAGAAUUGAAUCGCAUGAGAUUGAAGGUAAAGCUCAAGAUGGAGAGGAAGCCAAGAUUCAAAAUAAAGAUGUCGGCCGAGAUUUGUUAUUAUUGAGCUUGCGGGUUCUCCAUGUUUUGC